UACGUAGGUGGCAAGCGUUGUCCGGAUUUAUUGGGCGUAAAGCGAGCGCAGGCGGUUCCUUAAGUCUGAUGUGAAAGCCCACGGCUCAACCGUUGAAGGUCAUUGGAAACUGGGGAACUUGAGUGCAGAAGAGGAGAGUGGAAUUCCAUGUGUAGCGGUGAAAUGCGUAGAUAUAUGGAGGAACACCAGUGGCGAAGGCGACUCUCUGGUCUGUAACUGACGCAGAGGCUCGAAAGCGUUGGGAGCAAACAGGAUUAGA
rnacentral:rRNA from 1 species